rnacentral:rRNA from 1 species
CCUACGGGAGGCAGCAGUAGGGAAUCUUCCACAAUGGACGAAAGUCUGAUGGAGCAACGCCGCGUGAAUGAAGAAGGCCUUCGGGUCGUAAAAUUCUGUUGUCAGAGAAGAACGUGCGUGAGAGUAACUGUUCACGUAUUGACGGUAUCUGACCAGAAAGCCACGGCUAACUACGUGCCAGCAGCCGCGGUAAUACGUAGGUGGCGAGCGUUGUCCGGAUUUAUUGGGCGUAAAGGGAACGCAGGCGGUCUUUUAAGUCUGAUGUGAAAGCCUUCGGCUUAACCGAAGUAGUGCAUUGGAAACUGGAAGACUUGAGUGCAGAAGAGGAGAGUGGAACUCCAUGUGUAGCGGUGAAAUGCGUAGAUAUAUGGAAGAACACCAGUGGCGAAAGCGGCUCUCUGGUCUGUAACUGACGCUGAGGUUCGAAAGCGUGGGUAGC